UCAAAAACUAUGACGGAGAAAAGUAAACAAAAAUAUGCUUUCAGAGAGUGGGAGUUGGUGCGAACCCAUAAGCUAAAGUUGUUGAAAAUCACUCCAGAGUUGCAAGCUGAAAUUUAUAUGUAACAAUAUAAAGACUAGGUGACGCCGGUAGACGCCGUUAUAAUUAUAAGAGUAAUAAUUUGGGUGGUACAGCGACAGAUAUUCGCCCCAUGG
rfam:Clostridium acetobutylicum ATCC 824, complete genome.